rnacentral:rRNA from 1 species
AUUGAACGCUGGCGGCGUGCCUAAUACAUGCAAGUCGAGCGAAUGGAUUAAGAGCUUGCUCUUAUGAAGUUAGCGGCGGACGGGUGAGUAACACGUGGGUAACCUGCCCAUAAGACUGGGAUAACUCCGGGAAACCGGGGCUAAUACCGGAUAACAUUUUGAACCGCAUGGUUCGAAAUUGAAAGGCGGCUUCGGCUGUCACUUAUGGAUGGACCCGCGUCGCAUUAGCUAGUUGGUGAGGUAACGGCUCACCAAGGCAACGAUGCGUAGCCGACCUGGGAGGGGGAUCGGCCACACUGGGACUGAGACACGGCCCAGACUCCUACGGGAGGCAGCAGUAGGGAAUCUUCCGCAAUGGACGAAAGUCUGACGGAGCAACGCCGCGUGAGUGAUGAAGGCUUUCGGGUCGUAAAACUCUGUUGUUAGGGAAGAACAAGUGCUAGUUGAAUAAGCUGGCACCUUGACGGUACCUAACCAGAAAGCCACGGCUAACUACGUGCCAGCCGCCGCGGUAA